rnacentral:rRNA from 1 species
GAUGAACGCUGGCGGCGUGCUUAACACAUGCAAGUCGAACGAAGCAUUUAGAACAGAUUAUUUCGGUAUGAAGUUCUUUAUGACUGAGUGGCGGAAGGGUGAGUAACGCGUGGGUAACCUGCCUUGUACUGGGGGAUAGCAGCUGGAAACGGCUGGUAAUACCGCAUAAGCGCAGGGUGCGGCAUGGCACAGUGUGAAAAACUCCGGUGGUAUAAGAUGGACCCGCGUCUGAUUAGCUAGUUGGUGAGAUAACAGCCCACCAAGGCGACGAUCAGUAGCCGACCUGAGAGGGUGACCGGCCACAUUGGGACUGAGACACGGCCCAGACUCCUACGGGAGGCAGCAGUGGGGAAUAUUGCACAAUGGAGGGAACUCUGAUGCAGCAACGCCGCGUGAGUGAAGAAGUAAUUCGUUAUGUAAAGCUCUAUCAGCAGGGAAGAUAGUGACGGUACCUGACUAAGAAGCUCCGGCUAAAUACGUGCCAGCCGCCGCAGUAA